GACGAACGCUGGCGGCGUGCUUAACACAUGCAAGUCGAGCGGUAAGGCCUUUCGGGGUACACGAGCGGCGAACGGGUGAGUAACACGGGGGUGAUCUGCCCUGCACUUCGGGAUAAGCCGGGGAAACUGGGUCUAAUACCGGAUAUGACCUCCUAUCGCAUGGUGGGUGGUGGAAAGAUUUAUCGGUGCAGGAUGGGCCCGCGGCCUAUCAGCUCGUUGGUGGGGUAAUGGCCUACCAAGGCGACGACGGGUAGCCGACCUGAGAGGGUGACCGGCCACACUGGGACUGAGACACGGCCCAGACUCCUACGGGAGGCAGCAGUGGCGAGUAUUGCACAAUGGGAGAAAGCCUGAUGCAGCGGCGCCGCGUGAGGGAUGACGGCCUUCGGGUUGUAAACCUCUUUCAGCAGGGACGAAGCGCAAGUGACGGUACCUGAAGAAGAAGCACCGGCUAACUACGUG
rnacentral:rRNA from 1 species